rnacentral:rRNA from 1 species
GGGUCAGUAGGUUGGUCGUGCCACCGGUACGUACUGGUCUCACUGAUUCCUCCUUCCUGAAGAACCGUAAUGCCAUUAAUUUGGUGUUGCGGGGAAACAGGACUGUUACUUUGAAAAAAUUAGAGUGUUUAAAGCAAGCUAACGCUUGAAUACAUUAGCUUGGAAUAAUGAAAUAGGACGAUCGAUCCUAUUUUGUUGGUUUCCAGGAUUGACGUA